AAUAAUAUGGCAGAAUAAUGCAAUAGAUUUAGAAUCUAUAUAUAUAUAUAUAUAUAUAUAUAUUUUAUUU
rnacentral:tRNA from 1 species